GGGAUUGUGGCUCAGUGGUAGAGUGUUCACUUACCACGUGUGAGGCCCUGGGUUCAACCCUCAGCGCCA
rnacentral:tRNA from 1 species